rnacentral:rRNA from 1 species
AACGCUAGCUACAGGCUUAACACAUGCAAGUCGAGGGGCAGCAUUUCAGUUUGCUUGCAAACUGGAGAUGGCGACCGGCGCACGGGUGAGUAACACGUAUCCAACCUGCCGAUAACUCGGGGAUAGCCUUUCGAAAGAAAGAUUAAUACCCGAUGGUAUAAUCAGACCGCAUGGUCUUGUUAUUAAAGAAUUUCGGUUAUCGAUGGGGAUGCGUUCCAUUAGGCAGUUGGUGAGGUAACGGCUCACCAAACCUUCGAUGGAUAGGGGUUCUGAGAGGAAGGUCCCCCACAUUGGAACUGAGACACGGUCCAAACUCCUACGGGAGGCAGCAGUGAGGAAUAUUGGUCAAUGGGCGCAGGCCUGAACCAGCCAAGUAGCGUGAAGGAUGACUGCCCUAUGGGUUGUAAACUUCUUUUAUAUGGGAAUAAAGUUUUCCACGUGUGGAAUUUUGUAUGUACCAUAUGAAUAAGGAUCGGCUAACUCCGUGCCAGCAGCCGCGGUAAUACGGAGGAUCCGAGCGUUAUCCGGAUUUAUUGGGUUUAAAGGGAGCGUAGGUGGACAGUUAAGUCAGUUGUGAAAGUUUGCGGCUCAACCGUAAAAUUGCAGUUGAUACUGGCUGUCUUGAGUACAGUAGAGGUGGGCGGAAUUCGUGGUGUAGCGGUGAAAUGCUUAGAUAUCACGAAGAACUCCGAUUG